GACGACGCUGGCGGCGUGCUUAACACAUGCAAGUCUAAGGAGAAAGUUCCUUCGGGAGCGAGUAAACUGGCGAACGGGUGAGUAACGCGUAGGUAACCUGCCCUUAAGCUCGGGAUAACCCACCGAAAGGUGAGCUAAUACCGGAUAAUAUCUUUCCUCAUAAGGGGUAAAGAUCAAAGGUGGCUUCGGCUAUCACUUAUGGAUGGGCCUGCGUCUGAUUAGCUAGUUGGUAAGGUAAUGGCUUACCAAAGCAAUGAUCAGUAGCUGGUCUGAGAGGGCGAUCAGCCACAUUGGGACUGAGAUACGGCCCAGACUCCUACGGGAGGCAGCAGUGGGGAAUUUUGCGCAAUGAGCGAAAGCUUGACGCAGCAACGCCGCGUGAUCGAAGAAGCUCUGCGGAGUGUAAAGAUCUGUCAUAGGGGAAGAUAAGUUCCGUUAUUAACACCAUCGGGAUGUGACGGUACCCUAUAAGAAAGCCCCGGCUAACUUCGUGCCAGCAGCCGCGGUAAUACGAGGGGGGCAAGCGUUGUCCGGAUUUAUUGGGCGUAAAGAGUUCGUAGGCUGGUUGGUCAGUCAAAAUUGAAAUCCCACGGCUUAACCGUGGUUCCGGUUUCGAUACUGCCAAUCUUGAGUGAGGUAGAGGUAAGCGGAAUUCCUGGUGUAGCGGUGAAAUGCGUAGAUAUCAGGAGGAACACCAAAGGCGAAGGCAGCUUACUGGACCUAUACUGACGCUGAGGAACGAAAGCGUGGGGAGCGAACAGGAUUAGAGACCCUGGUAGUCCACGCCGUAAACGAUGAGUACUUGGUGGUGGGGGAUUCGACCCCUUCACUGUCGGAGCUAACGCGUUAAGUACUCCGCCUGGGAACUACGACCGCAAG
rnacentral:rRNA from 1 species